rnacentral:lncRNA from 1 species
UAUCGAAAGCAAACGCUCGUGCCACAGUGAGAGUUUAAUUAUUGUGUUUUAUAUGGUUUUUUCUGUGAUUUAUUUCGGGAUGAAAAUGAUGGAUUCAGUUGUACUCGAAUUGAUUUUAUUUUAUGUCAAGACCCCGUUAUUGUGGAGUAAUGAAGCUAAUAUGUCAUACAUCAAUUCCACAAAAAGUUUAACCUACUAUAAAAAUGAAAAAAGAAUGAAAUUUGGAGAUAGUUGAUCUAGGACCUCUCAUUUAUGUAAAAAGGAUGUUUCGAUCUUAAAGUAGUUAUCAGAGUUAGUCGAUUUCUCUCAUGAUGCCAAGUGAACGAGACUCUGCAAAGGAUAUUGCAACAAGAGCCAAGUGGUUUGAAUUUAAAUGAUUAUCAUUAUCAAAAUUGAUGUCAAUUUAAAUGUUUGUAUUAAAUAAUCGACGAUAGAUUAGUGAUCAGCAAUAAUUAAUGAAGCAUUAAUGCAGAGAUCAAGGCAUUGUGAUCAAAUCAAAGAAAAAAGAACGAAGAGAAAUUGAAUUCAUCAUCGACGACGACGACGACAAUAAGGCAGAGAAAGAAA